AUUGAACGCUGGCGGCAGGCCUAACACAUGCAAGUCGAGCGGAUGAAGGGAGCUUGCUCCUGGAUUCAGCGGCGGACGGGUGAGUAAUGCCUAGGAAUCUGCCUGGUAGUGGGGGAUAACGUCCGGAAACGGGCGCUAAUACCGCAUACGUCCUGAGGGAGAAAGUGGGGGAUCUUCGGACCUCACGCUAUCAGAUGAGCCUAGGUCGGAUUAGCUAGUUGGUGGGGUAAAGGCCUACCAAGGCGACGAUCCGUAACUGGUCUGAGAGGAUGAUCAGUCACACGGGAACAGAGACACGGUCCGGACUCCUACGGGAGGCAGCCAUGGGGAAUAUUGGACAAUGGGCGCAAGCCUGAUCCAGCCAUGCAGCGUGUGUGAAGAAGGUCUUCUGAUUGUAAAGCACUUUAAGUUGGGAGGAAGGACAGUAAGUGAAUACCUUGCUGUUUUGACGUUACCAACAGAAUAGGCACCGGCUAACUUCGUG
rnacentral:rRNA from 1 species